rnacentral:rRNA from 1 species
UACAGAGGGUGCAAGCGUUAAUCGGAAUUACUGGGCGUAAAGCGUGCGUAGUCGGUUAUGUAAGUCGGGUGUGAAAUCCCCGGGCUCAACCUGAGAACUGCGUCCGAUACUGGAUGGCUUGAAUCCGGGAGAGGGAUGCAGAAUUCCAGGUGUAGCGGUGAAAUGCGUAGAUAUCUGGAGGAAUACCGGUGGCGAAGGCGGCAUCCUGGACCGGCAUUGACGCUGAGGAGCGAAAGCCAGGGGAGCAAACGGG